GAAGAUUGUUACCCUCUUAUUAACAAACAACAAAUUAUUAACAUUUACAGUUUUAUCAAUUCGUUUAAUGUGUUUAAUGUGUUUAAGCUUUUGCCAUUUGAUAAGAACUUUCUGUUAUGAGUUUCCCUCGCAGUUCAGUAGGUUUAUUAUUUUAAUUUUCAUAUGAAGUGUGAUCAAAUACCUCACAGUCUUGUGACAAUACAAGCUUUUUGGAACAGCCACGAUAUCAUAUCUUUUAGAUAUUUGUUAAAGAACUUAAAAUACACCAUUGUUCUUUUACACAUAACCCUUUGACAGCUUAUUGCUGUAGAAACAUUUCCUACUGUUUGCUGGUAAACCAUAUUUUGAUGGUAUAUGGCAUUGGAUUGUAGAUAUCAGGUUACAAUAUCGUCCAUGCUGACAUCGCUGUCACACGUUUAUUGAUAUAUACUUCUAUGUGUGUUAUUUAAUUAAUAAUGGAUUUGCUGUUAUUGUAAAGUUUGCGAU
rnacentral:lncRNA from 1 species